CUUAAAGAUGAGGACAUGAUGAGGCCCAUUAUAGAUAAACUAGAAAAGGUGGCGGUGAGAGGAAGAGAUAAAAACCUGAAACCUGAAUAUGAUAGAAUGUGCAAAGUCAAAUCCUGGGAGAUAGAUCAAAAGAAAUCUGUUCACUUCUAUCAUGACUGGAAUGACAAAGAAAUUGAAGUAUUGAAUAAACACAUUUUUGUCUUCAAAACCAAUGGUCUACUUGGUUAAUCUUUCUGGAAAAGAUGACAUUAGAAAGAAAAGCAAAUGGUUGAUAAAAAUUAAAGAGUGGGUGGACAUGUAUGACCCAGCUGCCUUGGUCCUUUAGUGGAGCCCUCCAUUCCUUUUAGUGGAGCCUUGGAACUCAAGUUGCAAGAAUUGAGUGCUGAGGAGAGACAGAAGUAUCUGGAAGUGAGUAUGACAGGAAGUGCUUUGCCAAAGAUCAUUGAGGCUGCGUUUGCAGCACUCCAUCUAGAAUACUUUUUCACUGUAGGCCCAAAUGAAGUGCCCGUAUGGACCAUCAGGAGAGGGACAAAGGCUCCUCAGGCUGUAAGAAAGAUUCACGCAGACUUUGAAAAAGGAUUCAUUAUGGCCGAAGUAAUGAAGGAUGAAGAUUUUAAAGAGGCAGUUUCUGAAAAUGCAGUCAAGGCUGCUGGAAAGUACACACAACAAGGCACAGAUUAUAUUGUUGGAGAUAGAGAUAUUAUCUUCUUCCUAUUUAAUACACCUCAACAACCAAAGAAGAAAUAGAUUUUAGUUAUUGCUCAGAAAAAUGUACAACUUCCAAAAGGAAAGGUAUAUCAUUUUUUAAAAUUAAAACUUCUGAAAAGUGAAGGGACAAAUAAAGUUGGGGAGAUGGGUACCUUCUGUAAACAAAUUAUUUUUGUUUUAUUUAAUAAAAUUGAAAUACUGUGU